UGCAGGGUGGAGGAGUUCGGUCGUCCUCGCCAGCCUCAUAAGCUGGAGAUUCGCGGGUUCGAAUCCCGCCCCUGCUCCCA
rnacentral:tRNA from 1 species